CCUACGGGUGGCAGCAGUGAGGAAUAUUGGUCAAUGGGCGCAAGCCUGAACCAGCCAAGUCGCGUGAGGGAUGACGGUCCUAUGGAUUGUAAACCUCUUUUGUCGGGGAGCAAGGCCCGCCACUUGUGGCAGGAAGGAGAGUACCCGAAGAAAAAGCAUCGGCUAACUCCGUGCCAGCAGCCGCGGUAAAACGGAGGAUGCGAGCGUUAUCCGGUUUUAUUGGGUUUAAAGGGUGCGUAGGCGGAAGGUUAAGUCAGCGGUAAAAGGUCGGUGCUCAACACCGGCCUGCCGUUGAAACUGGUCUUCUUGAGUGAGCGAGAAGUAUGAGGAAUGCGUGGUGUAGCGGUGAAAUGCAUAGAUAGCACGCAGAACUCCGAUUGCGAAGGCAGCAUACCGGCGCUCAACUGACGCUGAGGCACGAAAGCGUGGGUAUCGAACAGGAUUAGAUACCCGAGUAGUC
rnacentral:rRNA from 1 species